rnacentral:pre_miRNA from 1 species
AUAGUACUCCCUCCGUUCCAAAUUACUUGUCUUAGAUUUGUCUAGAUACGAAGGUAUCUAGCACUAAAAUGAGUCUAGAUACAUCCGUAUCUAGACAAAUCAAAGACAAGUAAUUCAGAACGGAGGGAGUACUAU